UACGUAGGGGGCAAGCGUUGUCCGGAUUUAUUGGGCGUAAAGAGCUCGUAGGUGGUUCGGUAAGUCGGAUGUGAAAUCUCCAGGCUCAACCUGGAGGGGUCAUUCGAUACUGCCGUGACUAGAGUUCGGUAGGGGAGUGUGGAAUUCCUGGUGGAGCGGUGAAAUGCGCAGAUAUCAGGAGGAACACCAAUGGCGAAGGCAGUACUCUGGGACGUGACUGACGCUGAGACGCGAAAGCGUGGGGAGCAAACAGG
rnacentral:rRNA from 1 species